GAUGAACGCUGACAGAAUGCUUAACACAUCAGCAAUGGACUGUUGGCGGACGGGUGAGUAACGCGUAAAGAACUUGCCUCGCCGGUAGGGACGACAUUUGGAAACGAAUGCUAAUACCUAAUCCUGUGAGAGAGCUUUGCGGCACAUUAUCUCGUUGGGGAGGUAACGGCUCACCAAGGCGAUGAUGUGUAGCCGGCCUGAGAGGGUGAUCGGCCACAAGGGGACUGAGACACGGCCAUUACUGCUACGGGAGGCAGCAGUGGGGAAUAGUGGACAAUGGACCAAAGUCUGAUCCAGCACUUCUGUGUGUACGAUGAAGUUUUCGGAAUGUAAAGUGCGUUCAGUUGGGAAGCGGUACCAGCAGAAGAAGUAACGGCUAACUACGUGCCAGCAGCCGCGGUAAUUC
rnacentral:rRNA from 1 species